rnacentral:rRNA from 1 species
GAGUUUGAUCUUGGCUCAGAGCGAACGCUGGCGGCAGGCCUAACACAUGCAAGUCGAACGAUCCUUCGGGAUAGUGGCGGACGGGUGAGUAACACGUGGGAACGUGCCCUUUGGUUCGGAACAACUCAGGGAAACUUGAGCUAAUACCGUAUGCGCCCUUCGGGGAAAGAUUUAUCGCCAUUGGAGCGGCCCGCGUCUGAUUAGCUAGUUGGUGAGGUAAAGGCUCACCAAGGCGACGAUCAGUAGCUGGUCUGAGAGGAUGAUCAGCCACAUUGGGACUGAGACACGGCCCAAACUCCUACGGGAGGCAGCAGUGGGGAAUCUUGCGCAAUGGGCGAAAGCCUGACGCAGCCAUGCCGCGUGAAUGAUGAAGGUCUUAGGAUUGUAAAAUUCUUUCACCGGGGACGAUAAUGACGGUACCCGGAGAAGAAGCCCCGGCUAACUUCGUGCCAGCAGCCGCAGUAAG